rnacentral:snoRNA from 1 species
AACUCUGUCCAAAAGUUUUCCACCGCUAUAGACAGUACGACCUCGUUCUAAUCAUUUUUCAUAAUGAUAUUAAGCUUUGGUUCGUGAUAAGCGGUUUUUUAAGGAUAGAUCAAAGGCCUUCCUAUAAGAACUCGAGUGGAGUUUUCUUAAUCGUUUUGAUUAAUUUUUACAUGAGACUCGAGUGUCAGAGGAAGUUUAUAUUA